rnacentral:tRNA from 1 species
GGUGAGAUGGCCGAGAGGAUGAAGGCGCUCCCCUGCUAAGGGAGUAUGCAGAAAACAUCUGCAUCGAGGGUUCGAAUCCCUCUCUCACCGCCA